CCAACUCUCCCACUGUCUACGACUGGUAUGUAUACGUAGCCUAACCCUAAUAACGCACGCAUAGAACUAGUUACAAAUUUUUAAUCGAAAAAAAAGAAAAAGAACCGAUAGAUACAAAUAUGGAUACUAUAAAAAAAGAACCGAUAGAUACAAAUAUGGAUACUAUAAGUACUGUGAUUAUAUACGUAAAGUUUGUGACCAGUUCUAUUUGUGCGUAUUUCGAAUAUUAACGUAAAUAGAUCUAAGCCGUAGAUCGAGGAUCUGUUUGUUGGGUUUAGAUCUAUAUGGUUUGUUGUUGCGAUCAUGGGUUAACCUUUUAUGUGUGAUGUGAUCUCAC
rnacentral:lncRNA from 1 species